rnacentral:rRNA from 1 species
AGAGUUUGAUCAUGGCUCAGGACGAACGCUGGCGGCAUGCCUAACACAUGCAAGUCGAACGGAGAUACGAGAGCUUGCUUUUGUAUCUUAGUGGCGGACGGGCGAGUAACGCGUGAGCAACCUACCCUUAAGUGGGGAAUAACGUUUGGAAACGAACGCUAAUACCGCAUAAAGCAGCAUUUUCGCAUGGGAGAGCUGCCAAAGGAUUUAUUCGCUUAAGGAUGGGCUCGCGUCCGAUUAGCUAGUUGGUGAGGUAAGGGCUCACCAAGGCGACGAUCGGUAGCCGAACUGAGAGGUUGAUCGGCCGCAUUGGGACUGAGACACGGCCCAG